GACGAACGCUGCCUUUGUGCUUAACACAUGCAAGUCGAACGGAAAGGCCCUGCUUUUGUGGGGUGCUCGAGUGGCGAACGGGUGAGUAACUCGUGAGUAACCUGCCCUUGACUUUGGGAUAACUUCAGGAAACUGGGGCUAAUACCGGAUAGGAGCUCCUGCUGCAUGGUGGGGGUUGGAAAGUUUCGGCGGUUGGGGAUGGACUCGCGGCUUAUCAGCUUGUUGGUGGGGUAGUGGCUUACCAAGGCUUUGACGGGUAGCCGGCCUGAGAGGGUGACCGGCCACAUUGGGACUGAGAUACGGCCCAGACUCCUACGGGAGGCAGCAGUGGGGAAUAUUGCACAAUGGGCGGAAGCCUGAUGCAGCAACGCCGCGUGCGGGAUGACGGCCUUCGGGUUGUAAACCGCUUUCGCCUGUGACGAAGCGUGAGUGACGGUAAUGGGUAAAGAAGCACCGGCUAACUACGUGCCAGCAGCCGCGGUGAUACGUAGGGUGCGAGCGUUGUCCGGAUUUAUUGGGCGUAAAGGGCUCGUAGGUGGUUGAUCGCGUCGGAAGUGUAAUCUUGGGGCUUAACCCUGAGCGUGCUUUCGAUACGGGUUGACUUGAGGAAGGUAGGGGAGAAUGGAAUUCCUGGUGGAGCGGUGGAAUGCGCAGAUAUCAGGAGGAACACCAGUGGCGAAGGCGGUUCUCUGGGCCUUUCCUGACGCUGAGGAGCGAAAGCGUGGGGAGCGAACAGGCUUAGAUACCCUGGUAGUCCACGCUGUAAACGGUGGGUACUAGGUGUGGGGUCCAUUCCACGGGUUCCGUGCCGUAGCUAACGCUUUAAGUACCCCGCCUGGGGAGUACGGCCGCAAGGCUAAAACUCAAAGGAAUUGACGGGGCCCCGCACAAGCGGCGGAGCAUGCGGAUUAAUUCGAUGCAACGCGUAGAACCUUACCUGGGUUUGACAUGGAUCGGGAGUGCUCAGAGAUGGGUGUGCCUCUUUUGGGGUCGGUUCACAGGUGGUGCAUGGCUGUCGUCAGCUCGUGUCGUGAGAUGUUGGGUUAAGUCCCGCAACGAGCGCAACCCUUGUUCACUGUUGCCAGCACGUUAUGGUGGGGACUCAGUGGAGACCGCCGGGGUCAACUCGGAGGAAGGUGGGGAUGACGUCAAGUCAUCAUGCCCCUUAUGUCCAGGGCUUCACGCAUGCUACAAUGGCUGGUACAGAGAGUGGCGAGCCUGUGAGGGUGAGCGAAUCUCGGAAAGCCGGUCUCAGUUCGGAUUGGGGUCUGCAACUCGACCUCAUGAAGUCGGAGUCGCUAGUAAUCGCAGAUCAGCAACGCUGCGGUGAAUACGUUCCCGGGGGC
rnacentral:rRNA from 1 species